rnacentral:rRNA from 1 species
UACGGGGGGAGCAAGCGUUGUUCGGAUUUACUGGGCGUAAAGGGCGCGUAGGCGGUCAGUGCAAGUCAGUUGUGAAAUCUCCGGGCUUAACUCGGAAAGGUCAACUGAUACUGCUCGACUAGAGUGCGGAAGGGGCAACUGGAAUUCUUGGUGUAGCGGUGAAAUGCGUAGAUAUCAAGAGGAACACCUGCGGCGAAGGCGGGUUGCUGGGCCGACACUGACGCUGAGAGACGAAAGCUAGGGGAGCGAAUGGG